rnacentral:lncRNA from 1 species
UCUGUCUUUUUACCCUGAUUGGCAGCUGCGUCUGCCUUUUUGCCUUGGUUGGGGGACCCUUCUGCCUUUUUGCCUUCACUGGGGGACCCUUCUGCUUUUUUCCCCUGGUUUGUAAUACCCUCUACCUUUGUGCCCUGAUUAGCAACCGAAUCUGCCUUUUUGCCCUGGAUGGGAGCUCCCUCUCCUUUUUUGCCUUGGUUGGGACUCCUUUCUGCCUUUUUGCCCUGAGCCCCUUCUGUCUUUUUACCCUGAUUCUGGGCUCCCUCUCCUUUUUGGCCCUGGUUCUGGGCUCCCUCGGCCUUUUUGCCCUGGUUCUGAGCCCCCUCGGCCUUCUUGCCCUGGUUCUGGGCCCCCUCAGCCUUCUUGCCCUGGUUCUGGGCCCCCUCGGCCUUCUUGCCCUGGUUCUGGGCCCCCUCGGCCUUCUUGCCCUGGUUCUGGGCCCCCUCGGCCUUCUUGCCCUGGUUCUGGGCCCCCUCGGCCUUCUUGCCCUGGUUCUGGGCCCCCUCGGCCUUUUUGCCCUGAUUCUGGGCCCCCUCGGCCUUUUUGCCCUGGUUCUGGGCACCCUCAGCCUUCUUGCCCUGGUUCUGGGCCCCUUCUACUUUUUUGCCUUGGUUUGGGGUUCCUUCUGCCUUUUUGCCUUGGUUUGGGGUUCCCUCUGCCUUUUUCCCUUGGUUUGGGGUUCCCUCUGUCUUUUUGCCCUGGUUUGGGGUUCCCUCUGCCUUUCUGCCCUGGUUUGGGGCUCCUUCAGCCUUUUUGCUUUGAUUCUGAGUCCCCUCCGCCUUUUUGCCCUGAGUAGUGCCAGUGGCUGGUGUGUUGCCCUUGGC